rnacentral:rRNA from 1 species
GUGGGGAAUCUUGCGCAAUGGGCGAAAGCCUGACGCAGCCAUGCCGCGUGAAUGAUGAAGGUCUUAGGAUUGUAAAAUUCUUUCACCGGGGACGAUAAUGACGGUACCCGGAGAAGAAGCCCCGGCUAACUUCGUGCCAGCAGCCGCGGUAAUACGAAGGGGGCUAGCGUUGCUCGGAAUUACUGGGCGUAAAGGGCGCGUAGGCGGACAGUUUAGUCAGAGGUGAAAGCCCAGGGCUCAACCUUGGAAUUGCCUUUGAUACUGGCUGUCUUGAGUACGGGAGAGGUGAGUGGAACUCCGAGUGUAGAGGUGAAAUUCGUAGAUAUUCGGAAGAACACCAGUGGCGAAGGCGACUCACUGGCCCGUUACUGAUGCUGAGGCGCGAAAGCGUGGGGAGCAAACAGGAUUAGAAACCCCAGUAGUCC